GAGAUGGACUCAGUGGAGACGCCAUGGCCUGACUAAUGGAUUGUGGAAGCGCGGUUCAUAUACACAAUGGGAUUUUAUACAGCUGUGAAGUUAAGGGAAAUGACGACAUUCGGAGGGACAUCUCUGCCCGGGAUGAAUACUUCUGUCUCUGCUCACCUUCGGUCCAAUGCUAGCCUUCUUCAGGAAGACUUCCCAAGUGACUGCCACUUCUGACCUUGCUCUCCCAGAGUGUCCACAGAAGGCCAUUCUUGUGCGUCUGACCUUGUCGGAUGAGGGUGGAGCCUGAAAUUGAGGAGCCUCUAAGACACUGAUUCCCAAGUCACAUUGCCUGUGUAACCAGGGGAUUGAGUGUUGGGACUAAAGCCAUCUCCUUUCCCCUAAAGUGUGGAGAGAUAACCAAUCUGCCCUGGACUCAACCACGUCUGCCUGUAGAGGCUUUGCAUCCCUGUGGCUGCAAAUUGAAAAGAGUUUCUAUUAAACCAUGUCAUUCCUGCAGCUUGCUAGCUA